rnacentral:rRNA from 1 species
GAUGAACGCUAGCGGCAGGCCUAACACAUGCAAGUCGAGGGGCAGCACAGGUAGCAAUACUGGGUGGCGACCGGCGGAUGGGUGCGUAACGCGUAUGCAACCUACCAUUGAUUGGGGCAUAGCCCGAAGAAAUUCGGAUUAAUACUCCAUAAUAUUCAUUAAAGGCAUCUUUUAUGAAUUAAAGCUUUUGCGAUCAAUGAUGGGCAUGCGUGACAUUAGUUAGUUGGUGAGGUAACGGCUCACCAAAACGAUGAUGUCUAGGGGUUCUGAGAGGAUUAUCCCCCAACUGGUACUGAGACACGGACCAGACUCCUACGGGAGCAGCAGUGAGGAAUAUUGGUCAAUGGACGCAAGUCUGAACCAGCCAUGCCGCGUGCAGGAUGACGGCCCUAUGGGUUGUAAACUGCUUUUAAUGGGAAAUUAUGACGGUACCAUAUGAAUAAGGACCGGCUAACUACGUGCCAGCAGCCGAC